rnacentral:rRNA from 1 species
GGAAAGCUUUUGCGGUAUGGGAUGGGGUCGCGUCCUAUCAGCUUGAUGGCGGGGUAACGGCCCACCAUGGCUUCGACGGGUAGCCGGCCUGAGAGGGCGACCGGCCACAUUGGGACUGAGAUACGGCCCAGACUCCUACGGGAGGCAGCAGUGGGGAAUAUUGCACAAUGGGCGCAAGCCUGAUGCAGCGACGCCGCGUGCGGGAUGACGGCCUUCGGGUUGUAAACCGCUUUUGACUGGGAGCAAGCCCUUCGGGGUGAGUGUACCUUUCGAAUAAGCACCGGCUAACUACGUGCCAGCAGCCGCGGUAAUACGUAGGGUGCAAGCGUUAUCCGGAAUUAUUGGGCGUAAAGGGCUCGUAGGCGGUUCGUCGCGUCCGGUGUGAAAGUCCAUCGCUUAACGGUGGAUCCGCGCCGGGUACGGGCGGG